GAAAUCAUAACAUGGGAACAAUGGACCACGCUGGCUCCUUUCAAACUGGGAAAAAUUCUAUUUGGCUGGAUUUACCUACGAAUAUUUAUCGACGUUUUGAUAUGCUUUCUGCAGAUCUACAAAGACUGGAAUUGCACCGAAAUUCCUACCACUUUCAGGGGUCAAGGCGUCACCGCGGAGAGAUUUGAACGUUCCAGGACGUAUCGUUUACACAAACAUUAUGCAAAAAUCGGAUGCUACGCGUACAUUCUGGGGGUCGUUCACUAUAUUUACAUUGGGAAAGGCGCCCUUUACCUUUUGUGGAAUUGGAGUGGCGACAUUCUCACCGUUUUAGGAAUUUGGCCGGCCAGUU